AGCUCUAGAGUUUUUGCAGAUUUUCAAAUAAAACUCAGAGAUUCCUUGUAUGACUCUCUCAAUUCUCUCUUUUGUAGUAUUUCUGGAUCCUUUCCAAGGCAGUAAUGGUAUAUGCCUUCUCUCAAAGUAUGUGGUAUUUUUGGUAUGAGGCAUAGUGAUAUUGCCUUCUCUCUCACCCUACUCUAAUAAGGUUUUGAUAUCUGGAGCUCAUAGGUGGGAGAUAAAGCAUACAUACAAGACAUUUAUUGCAUAGUCAAACCAUGGAUCCAAAAAAACAAGUCAAUAAGUCAAAUCAAGAUGUGCAUGUGUGGCGAGUGAAUGGUGUAUGGUGAUGAUGGGGAUAACAAUGGUGACAGUCUAAUUCUACUUUUGCUCUUUUAAGGGGAUACAUACCUUUCUUGCACUUUGAAGCUUUUUGAGGAGAAUGAGAUGCUCUACAUUUUCUUUUUCUUUCCUCUCAGGUGGGUAUCUUGUACCCCUAAUUCUACUGUCAGACACUUGUCCAUUUUUACCUCUCGUCUCACAUUUUCUUUUCUUCGAGGUUCUGGGCACUUGCCCCUUUUUAUUUCCUCGUAUUCUUUCUCUCUCUUUUUUCUUUUUUUACUAGAGAACUCAUCUCCUGAAAUAAUAUAGCAAGUGGUAGUAACCAAGAUAACUCGAGCAUUUAUUUCAUAGGGAAAAACAGAAAUAGGAGAAUGUUUUUGGCUAUUCUCUCCCGGAUUAGGAGUAGAAUACUUUUGGGUGGCUCUGGAGAUGGAAAUGAGUAGAUAUAUGUGUGUUGAUAUUUGGGAACGCAAUAAGGAAUUGAUCCGCAAGCGCACGGAUAUCGGUGAGCACUUCACCUGGGAGGUUAUCCAGAGUAUCGUAUUUAUUUUUUUACCACUAGGAGAAAGAGUGCAUCUGACUAACCGGUCUAUUACUACUAACCCUUUAGGCAACAAAGAAUGUCUCUCGAUGUGAGUGAUAAAUAAAGAAGACUGCAACCUUAGUCUCUUUCUAACCUUAGUAAGGAUGAUCUACUGUUCUAUUGGGGAGGCUAACGGAAUCUAGACACCACAAAGGAUGUUCAACCCGCACCUAUAAACCCUAUCCUUCCUGCUAACGAGAUAUGGUCUGCAAAGGUAACUCGGAAUUGUCAC
rnacentral:lncRNA from 1 species